rnacentral:rRNA from 1 species
UACAGAGGGUGCAGGCGUUGUCCGGAAUCACUGGGCGUAAAGGGCGCGUAGGCGGCCCGGUAAGUAGGGGGUGAAAUCUCACGGCUCAACUGUGAGGCUGCCUUCUAGACUGCCAGGCUCGAGCACAGUAGAGGCUGGUGGAAUUCCCGGUGUAGCGGUGGAAUGCGUAGAGAUCGGGAAGAACAUCUGUGGCGAAGGCGGCCAGCUGGGCUGUUGCUGACGCUGAUGCGCGACAGCGUGGGGAGCAAACAGG